GCGGAUAUGGCGGAAUUGGUAGACGCGCUAGUUUCAGGUAUUAGUGUUCAAAAGACGUGGGGGUUCGACUCCCUCUAUCCGCACCA
rnacentral:tRNA from 1 species